rnacentral:rRNA from 1 species
AACGAACGCUGGCGGCGCGUUUUAAGCAUGCAAGUCGAACGGCAAGGGAGGUAGCAAUAUUUCCCUGAGAGUGGCGAACGGGUGAGUAACACGUAGGUGAUCUACCCUUGGAUGGGGGAUAGUCCGUGGAAACACGGGGUAAUACCGCAUGAGGCCUUGUGGGUAAAGCCAUGAGGUGAAAGGUGCAACUGCACCGUCUGGGGAUGAGCCUGCGGUCCAUUAGUUAGUUGGCGGGGUAAGGCCCACCAAGGCUGCGAUGGAUAGCCGGCCUGAGAGGGUGUACGGCCACACUGGAACUGAGACACGGUCCAGACUCCUACGGGUGGCUG